rnacentral:rRNA from 1 species
UACAGAGGGUGCGAGCGUUAAUCGGAAUUACUGGGCGUAAAGCGCACGUAGGCGGCUUGGUAUGACGGGUGUGAAAUCCCCGGGCUCAACCUGGGAACUGCAUCCGAAACUGCCUUGCUCGAGUAUGGGAGAGGGAAGUGGAAUUUCCGGUGUAGCGGUGAAAUGCGUAGAUAUCGGAAGGAACACCAGUGGCGAAAGCGGCUUCCUGGUCCAGCACCGACGUUCAGGCACGAAAGCGUGGGGAGCAAACAGG